rnacentral:rRNA from 1 species
GGGUUGUGAGGUUAAGCGACUAAGCGUACACGGUGGAUGCCUAGGCAGUCAGAGGCGAUGAAGGGCGUGCUAAUCUGCGAAAAGCGUCGGUAAGGUGAUAUGAACCGUAACAGCCGACGAUACCCGAAUGGGGAAACCCGGUGCACUUGUGCAUCAUCGUUUGAUGAAUCCAUAGUCAAACGAGGCGAACCGGGGGAACUGAAACAUCUCAGUACCCCGAGGAAAAGAAAUCAACCGAGAUUCCCCCAGUAGCGGCGAGCGAACGGGGAAAAGCCCAGAACCUGAAUCAGUUUGUGUGUUAGUGGAAGCGUCUGGAAAGUCGCACGACAGAGGGUGAUAGUCCCGUACACAAAAAUGCACAGGCUGUGAGUUCGAUGAGUAGGGCGGGACACGUGAUAUCCUGUCUGAAGAUGGGGGGACCAUCCUCCAAGGCUAAAUACUCCUGACUGACCGAUAGUGAACCAGUACCGUGAGGGAAAGGCGAAAAGAACCCCGGCGAGGGGAGUGAAAUAGAACCUGAAACCGUGUACGUACAAGCAGUGGGAGCCCCACCACCAAAACACUUCCGGGCCGAAAGGCGAUGCGGAUGUCGAGGUGACGGUUGUCAUCGCGUUUUUUGCGAUGACCAACACACAAAACAAGCAGUGAGUGUUUUGGGGUGGGGUGACUGCGUACCUUUUGUAUAAUGGGUCAGCGACUUAUAUUCUGUAGCAAGGUUAACCGAAUAGGGGAGCCGCAGGGAAACCGAGUCUUAACUGGGCGUUAAGUUGCAGGGUAUAGACCCGAAACCCGGUGAUCUAGCCAUGGGCAGGUUGAAGGUUGGGUAACACUAACUGGAGGACCGAACCGACUAAUGUUGAAAAAUUAGCGGAUGACCUGUGGCUGGGGGUGAAAGGCCAAUCAAACCGGGAGAUAGCUGGUUCUCCCCGAAAGCUAUUUAGGUAGCGCCUCGUGAACUCAUCUACGGGGGUAGAGCACUGUUUCGACUAGGGGGUCAUCCCGACUUACCAACUCGAUGCAAACUGCGAAUACCGUAGAAUGUUAUCACGGGAGACACACGGCGGGUGCUAACGUCCGUCGUGAAGAGGGAAACAACCCAGACCGCCAGCUAAGGUCCCAAAGUCAUGGUUAAGUGGGAAACGAUGUGGGAAGGCCCAGACAGCCAGGAUGUUGGCUUAGAAGCAGCCAUCAUUUAAAGAAAGCGUAAUAGCUCACUGGUCGAGUCGGCCUGCGCGGAAGAUGUAACGGGGCUAAACCAUGCACCGAAGCUGCGGCAGCGACGCUUAGGCGUUGUUGGGUAGGGGAGCGUUCUGUAAGCCUGCGAAGGUGGCCCGUGAGGGUUGCUGGAGGUAUCAGAAGUGCGAAUGCUGACAUAAGUAACGAUAAUGCGGGUGAAAAACCCGCACGCCGGAAGACCAAGGGUUCCUGUCCAACGUUAAUCGGGCAGGGUGAGUCGACCCCUAAGGCGAGGCUGAAAAGCGUAGUCGAUGGGAAACAGGUUAAUAUUCCUGUACUGGGUGUUGCUGCGAAGGGGGGACGGAGAAAGCUAGGUUGGCCGGGCGACGGUUGUCCCGGUUUAAGCGUGCAGGUGGGUGUUUUUGGUAAAUCCGGAACACUGUCAACACUGAGGCGUGACGACGAGUCACUACGGUGACGAAGUAACCGAUGCUACGCUUCCAGGAAAAGCCUCUAAGCUCCAGGCAACACGCAAUCGUACCCCAAACCGACACAGGUGGUCAGGUAGAGAAUACUCAGGCGCUUGAGAGAACUCGGGUGAAGGAACUAGGCAAAAUGGUGCCGUAACUUCGGGAGAAGGCACGCUGGAUUUGGUGAAGUCCCUUGCGGAUGGAGCUGAGACCAGUCGCAGAUACCAGCUGGCUGCAACUGUUUAAUAAAAACACAGCACUGUGCAAACACGAAAGUGGACGUAUACGGUGUGACGCCUGCCCGGUGCCGGAAGGUUAAUUGAUGGGGUCAGCCUUUGGGCGAAGCUCUUGAUCGAAGCCCCGGUAAACGGCGGCCGUAACUAUAACGGUCCUAAGGUAGCGAAAUUCCUUGUCGGGUAAGUUCCGACCUGCACGAAUGGCGUAAUGAUGGCCAGGCUGUCUCCACCCGAGACUCAGUGAAAUUGAACUCGCUGUGAAGAUGCAGUGUACCCGCGGCAAGACGGAAAGACCCCGUGAACCUUUACUAUAGCUUGACACUGAACCUUGAGCCUUGAUGUGUAGGAUAGGUGGGAGGCUUUGAAGCGUGGACGCCAGUCUGCGUGGAGCCGACCUUGAAAUACCACCCUUUAAUGUUCGAUGUUCUAACGUGGGCCCCUGAGCGGGGUUGCGGACAGUGUCUGGUGGGUAGUUUGACUGGGGCGGUCUCCUCCCAAAGAGUAACGGAGGAGCACGAAGGUUAGCUAAUCCUGGUCGGACAUCAGGAGGUUAGUGCAAAGGCAUAAGCUAGCUUGACUGCGAGAGUGACGGCUCGAGCAGGUGCGAAAGCAGGUCUUAGUGAUCCGGUGGUUCUGAAUGGAAGGGCCAUCGCUCAACGGAUAAAAGGUACUCCGGGGAUAACAGGCUGAUACCGCCCAAGAGUUCAUAUCGACGGCGGUGUUUGGCACCUCGAUGUCGGCUCAUCACAUCCUGGGGCUGAAGUAGGUCCCAAGGGUAUGGCUGUUCGCCAUUUAAAGUGGUACGCGAGCUGGGUUUAGAACGUCGUGAGACAGUUCGGUCCCUAUCUGCCGUGGGCGUUGGAAGAUUGAGAGGGGUUGCUCCUAGUACGAGAGGACCGGAGUGAACGCACCACUGGUGUACGGGUUGUGAUGCCAAUUGCAUUGCCCGGUAGCUACGUGCGGAAGAGAUAACCGCUGAAAGCAUCUAAGCGGGAAACUUGCCUCGAGAUGAGUCUUCCCUGGGACUUUGAGUCCCCUGAAGGGCCGUUGAAGACGACGACGUAGAUAGGCUGGGUGUGUAAGCGUUGCGAGACGUUGAGCUAACCAGUACUAAUGACCCGAGAGGCUUAACCUUACAACACCGAAGGUGUUU